GAUCGUGCACAUGGGCACGGGAAGAAAGGAGGAGAAGAGAGGAAGGGGAUGAUGCUCACCUUCGACGCCGGCGAAGCUUUUUCGAUGAGAAAUCUUGAUGGGCACAAAAAUGGUCUUCCACAGUGGCUUUCCGACGAUUGCUGCCGAUGGACUUCGAGUUCUCCGGUGAGAGGGAGAGAGGAGGGUUCUUCUCCUUAAAUAGAGCUGGAGGGGGCUCUUUUCGACUCCAGUUGAGAGCCGGCGAAAGGAGGAAGAAGACUCCCUUCUCCUCUAUUUUCCCUUUCUCUUUUUUUUUUUUCAUUUGGGCUUUGUGGACUAGGUUUAAGGCCUAAUUGGGCCGGGCUAUAACACCACUACUGCAUUAUAAGACCAUGAUUGAAGAGAAAGUGAAAGAGACAAUGUUGCAAGCUCUCGAAGCUUGUCCUAGAUGCAGACCCCUGCUGCCUCCUCGACUUCCUUCCUAUGCGGGGGUGCUUGGCACGGUUGAUCUACACUCGACAGCAUCCUUCUUCCCAUUCUCCUCCUCCUAGUUCCUUUUCUCCCAAUGAAAAUGACUAGAGAAAACCUUCUUGGAACGGGCCGUUAACCCCUCAUCCCCACGUCCAAGGUUCGAGUCUGCGGGCCUAUGAUUAAAUGAGGAUUAAAUUUCAAUGUCUGGAUGCGGAUCCAUGGGAGUGGUAUCUGGUCUCUCUGGUGCUGGAGGUGACGUACUCACCUGAUCCACUUGGACAUGAUAGGGAGGGACUGAGCCAUCUUUAUUGUCAUCUCGCAUUGGACAUUCGGGGCCCUUAUGUAAUGCCUUAUAUCUUGUACUAUCAAAUAAAAAUUUACCACAUCAAUCCAAAAAAGUGAAC
rnacentral:lncRNA from 1 species